rnacentral:rRNA from 1 species
UAGUCUGGGAUACCACUUGGAAACAGGUGCUAAUACCGGAUAAGAAAGCGGAUCGCAUGAUCAGCUUUUAAAAGGCGGCGUAAGCUGUCGCUAUGGGAUGGCCCCGCGGUGCAUUAGCUAGUUGGUAAGGUAAAGGCUUACCAAGGCGAUGAUGCAUAGCCGAGUUGAGAGACUGAUCGGCCACAUUGGGACUGAAACACGGCCCAAACUCCUACGGGAGGCAGCAGGA